AGAUGUGAGGGCUAUCUGGCUGCGACAUCUGUCACCAAACUGAUCGCUAGGGUUGAUUCGGCUGAUCUGGUUGGCUGGCUAGGCGGCUGCCCCCUUCUUCCCUCACUGCUCCAUGUGUGUCCCUCCUGAAGCUGCACACUUGGUCGAAGACAACAACCUCCCGAAUAGAGGGGGACUGUUCUUCAGUCAAGGGUAUACAAGCAGCUGCUCUCCCCUGCUGGAACCUCCAAACGAGCUCUCAGGAGAGUAAUCAAUCUAUGGGAACUGUCACUAACCGAAUGUUGUGUGUGCUGGUAAUGAACGAUGAGAGAGAGAAUACUGUAAUUUCAAUCUGCGUUUGUUGAAAAAAUCUGCAUAUAGUU
rnacentral:snRNA from 1 species